ACUUCACAAUAGAAAACCAGUUUCGUUUCUCUUCAUCUUCUGUCUCUAAUUCUUCUCUUUUCAUCUGAAACAUCUCCCCACCAUGAAAGAGAUUUCUGAAACACCUCCUCCAUGAAAGAAGAUCAAAGGCUACGGAAAUCUGAGGCUUAACAUAAGAUUUGAAUCAGAAACCAUUGCAGUUGCUGCCCACUUCUCAUUCUACGGAAAGGUGUACAUGAGAGGUACGAAACUUAGCUGGUGGUGGUGGCCAUUGAUCUAUGCAGGAUGAUUCAUGUUCCUAGAAAGAGUUGUUUGAAUUCAGCCUUGCUGACUGUGUAACUCCCUCAAAUGCGCCUAUGAUAAGUUGUGUACAUCUUAAAAAAGAAUAUCAAAUAUAAGAGAAUCUUAUCUUUGUGUAACAUAAAAAAUGAAAAAGAAAACCGAGAACGAUACCUUUUAUAGACUUGAAACGGGUAAAGCACUCGCAAUGUGUUUCUGCUUAAAUGUAAUAUGUGAGAACAUUUUAUUUGUGUAGAUUUUAGAGAUUAUUGAAUGAAAGUUUGUUUUGUUUGUUUUA